rnacentral:ncRNA from 1 species
CUCAACUUUACAAUCGAGGAUGGGAAUGACGGAACCAUGUUUCCCGAAACCAUCCCGCCAAUACUCCUGCAUGCGUCACGUCUGACAGGGCAUGGGGUGUGAAGUACAGGUAGAGUCGGCAGAACGGCGGCUGAAGCCAUCUCCGGAAAGGUAUGCCAACGGAUAUGCCGCGCGGCUGAAAA